rnacentral:rRNA from 1 species
UACGGGGGGGCAAGCGUUGUUCGGAAUUACUGGGCGUAAAGGGCUCGUAGGUGGCCAACUAAGUCAGACGUGAAAUCCCUCAGCUUAACUGGGGAACUGCGUCUGAUACUGGAUGGCUUGAGUUUGGGAGAGGGAUGCGGAAUUCCAGGUGUAGCGGUGAAAUGCGUAGAUAUCAGGAGGAACACCGAUGGCGAAGGCAGGUCUCUGGGCCACUACUGACGCUGAGAAGCGAAAGCGUGGGGAGCGAACAGG